rnacentral:rRNA from 1 species
UGGGGAAUCUUGGACAAUGGGGGCAACCCUGAUCCAGCGAUGCCGCGUGAGCGAAGAAGGCCUUAGGGUUGUAAAGCUCUUUCGCCCGCGACGAUGAUGACGGUAGCGGGAGAAGAAGCCCCGGCUAACUCCGUGCAGCAGCCGCGGUAAUACGGAGGGGGCUAGCGUUGUCCGGAAUUACUGGGCGUAAAGCGCGCGUAGGCGGUCCACCAAGUCGGGGGUGAAAGCCCGGGGCUCAACCCCGGAAUGUCCUCCGAGACUGUUGGACUGGAGUUCGGGAGAGGAGAGCGGAAUUCCCAGUGUAGAGGUGAAAUUCGUAGAUAUUGGGAAGAACACCGGUGGCGAAGGCGGCUCUCUGGCCCGCAACUGACGCUGAGGCGCGAAAGCGUGGGGAGCAAACA